rnacentral:rRNA from 1 species
UACGUAGGGUGCGAGCGUUAAUCGGAAUUACUGGGCGUAAAGCGUGCGCAGGCGGUUGGGCAAGACAGAUGUGAAAUCCCCGGGCUUAACCUGGGAACUGCAUUUGUGACUGCACAGCUAGAGUACGGCAGAGGGGGAUGGAAUUCCGCGUGUAGCAGUGAAAUGCGUAGAUAUGCGGAGGAACACCGAUGGCGAAGGCAGUCCCCUGGGCCUGUACUGACGCUCAUGCACGAAAGCGUGGGGAGCAAACAGG